UCUGCGCCCCACUCCGACAAGGAACAUUUUUUUUUGCCCUAAUCCACCGCCUUAGGACUAAGCUCCCCCUUUUCUCCUGCACUAAUUGGAAACACCGGCUCUCCCUGCACCGCUCAGGCUGUGCGCAGCAGCUCCCGCUAACGUCCCGCUCCCCCCGUGACCCCUCCCCAUUGCUCCCUUUUCGUCCAGACCCCGUCCGGCCCAGAUCCUGAAACCCGACCUGACGCUAAAUCCCGGCAGCUCCGUGCUAAGCUCGGGGAUUUGCUGCCAGGUCUGGGCUGUGCAUGCGCUUCCUCCGUGCCUUGCCGUGCAUCAUGCAGCCAGCGGGGCCGGGGGGAAUCACCCCCUGUUCUGCUCCAGUUGCUGGGGUUGAAGAUCUGGAGAAUGGUAGGGUUGGCAUGGUCAUAGAGCCAUGGGUUGGGUUGGAAGGGUCCUUGAAGGUCAUAGAGCCAUGGGUUGGGUUGGAAAGGUCCUUGAAGGUCAUAGAGCCAUGGGUUGGGUUGGAAGGGUCCUUGAAGGUCAUAGAGCCAUGGGUUGGGUUGGAAGGGUCCUUGAAGGUCAUAGAGCCAUGGGUUGGGUUGGAAGGGUCCUUGAAGGUCAUAGAGCCAUGGGUUGGGUUGGAAGGGUCCUUGAAGGUCAUAGAGCCAUGGGUUGGGUUGGAAAGGUCCUUGAAGGUCAUAGAGCCAUGGGUUGGGUUGGAAGGGUCCUUGAAGGUCACAGAGCCAUGGGUUGGGUUGGAAGGGUCCUUGAAGGUCAUAGAGCCAUGGGAUUUUGGGGUUGGAAAUGUCCUUAAAGAGCCCUGAGACGGUUGGGCUGGAGAGGACCUCAACAAUCAUCCUGUUCCAACCCCACGGCACUGCUGAACUCCAGAUGCUGGCAGAGCACCGUGACACAUUCUGCAGUGUCACCGGCACGGGUGGACACCACAGCCAACAGCCCUCAAGCUCUCGCCGUGUCCUUUCCCCCAUCUCAGCGCCACCCCCGUUG